rnacentral:rRNA from 1 species
AGCAGCCGCGGUAAUUCCAGCUCCAAUAGCGUAUAUUAAAGUUGUUGCAGUUAAAAAGCUCGUAGUUGAAUUUCGGGGUUAGUAGGUUGGUCAUGCCUCUGGUAUGUACUGGUCUCACUGAUUCCUCCUUCCUGAUGAACCGUAAUGCCAUUAAUUUGGUGUUUCGGGGAAUUUGGACUGUUACUUUGAAAAAAUUAGAGUGUUUAAAGCAAGCUAACGCUUGAAUACAUUAGCAUGGAAUAAUGAAAUAGGACGUUCGAUCCUAUUUUGUUGGUUUCUAGGAUUGACGUAAUGAUUAAUAGGGAUAGUUGGGGGCAUUAGUAUUCAAUUGUCAGAGGUGAAAUUCUUGGAUUUAUUGAAGACUAACUACUGCGAAAGCAUUUGCCAAGGAUGUUUUCAUUAAUCAAGAACGAAAGUUAGGGGAUCGAAGACGAUCAGAUACCGUCGUAGUCUUAACCAUAAACUAUGCCGACUAGGGAUCGGAUGA